UGCUCUUGUCAGAUCUCGUAAGUUAAAUACCGCUGGAUCUGGUCAGUAAUUGGAUGGAAGACCUCUGAGGAAAACAAGUGCUGAAGUAA
rnacentral:rRNA from 1 species